rnacentral:rRNA from 1 species
UACAGAGGGUGCAAGCGUUGUUCGGAAUUAUUGGGCGUAAAGCGCGUGUAGGCGGCAUGGCAAGUCGGGUGUGAAAGCCCUCAGCUCAACUGAGGAAGUGCGCCCGAAACUGCUUUGCUUGAGUGCUGGAGAGGGUCGCGGAAUUCCCCAAGUAGAGGUGAAAUUCGUAGAUAUGGGGAGGAACACCGGUGGCGAAGGCGGCAUCCUGGACCAACACUGACGCUGAGGGAGCGAAAGCCAGGGGAGCAAACGGG